rnacentral:rRNA from 1 species
ACUCAAAUGAAUUGACGGGGGCCCGCACAAGCGGUGGAACAUGCGGUUUAAUUCGACGCAACGCGAAGAACCUUACCUACUCUUGACAUCUAUAGAAUCUGGUAGAGAUACUGGAGUGCCUUCGGGAAUUAUAAGACAGGUGCUGCAUGGCUGUCGUCAGCUCGUGUCGUGAGAUGUUGGGUUAAGUCCCGUAACGAGCGCAACCCUUAUCCUUAGUUGCCAGCGAGUGAAGUCGGGAACUCUAGGGAGACUGCCGGUGACAAGCCGGAGGAAGGUAGGGACGACGUCAAGUCAUCAUGGCCCUUACGAGUAGGGCUACACGCGUGUUACAAUGGGCGGUACAAAGGGCAGCGAACCUGUGAAGGGGAGCGAAUCUUAUCAAAGCCGCUCGUAGUCCGGAUUGGAGUCUGCAACUCGACUCCAUGAAGUUGGAAUCGCUAGUAAUCGUAGAUCAGAACGCUACGGUGAAUACGUUCUCGGGCCUUGUACACACCGCCCGU